rnacentral:lncRNA from 1 species
UAGUUGGAGCAGAAGUAUCUGUUUCAUCACUUGAAUCAAAUAUUUUUGGCAUAUCUGUUGCUACUCUGAGUUUGGCAUUAUGUGUUCGAAUUUUAACCACAUAUCUAUUGAUGUGCUUUGCUGGUUUUAGUUUUAAGGAGAAAAUAUUUAUUGCUUUAGCAUGGAUGCCCAAAGCUACAGUACAGGCUGUGUUAGGUCCUCUGGCUCUAGAAACAGCAAGAGUCUCCGCACCCCACUUGGAACCAUAUGUGAAGGAUGUGAUGACAGUAGCAUUUUUAGCCAUCUUGAUCACAGCUCCAAAUGGAGCUCUACUUAUGGGCAUUCUGGGGCCUAAAC